rnacentral:lncRNA from 1 species
AUAUAUAUAUAAUAUGGCCCAAGCUCCAGCGUGUUUUAUAUAACAUGUUAAUUUUUAUAGGGGCUGUUGAAUGCAAAGAAGUAAACAAUGACCAAGAUACAAAUGAUUUUGGCAGUGCACAUCCUGAUUCAAAUUGCCCAAAUGCUGCACACAGUGAAUUAUCGGUUAAAAAAACUUUGGAAUUUCACCCGAUUCAAUUUAUUUGAUGAUUCAACUGAUUCAGAAUAAUUUAUUUAAAAGAAAUAUAUAAUUUUGUUUUA